rnacentral:misc_RNA from 1 species
CUAUAUCUCGCCAGUCUGCGUCUGAUAGCGGAGCGGAUCUGGUGGGAUUUUCACGCUUUUUCAGUAUUAUUUAUAAACCAAUGUGCAUUUCUGGGACAUUUUUCCACAACACAGUUUCGCGUUUCCGAAAAUAAACUUUUUUUUAGUAGAGUUUAAGUGAACGUGACUAGAAAAUCUGCUAGCAUCCCGCGUGUGUGAAACCGACAAGUGGAGAAAUACAAUAGCAUUCAGCAUCUUUUUUUCGCGAACAUCUGUAGAUUGUUAUUGUAACGUGGCAUAAGUGUAGUGAUUUUAUGAAAGGUGCUUUGUGAGUUUUUUCUGAAUCUCUCAUUCAUGGAAAACAGCGAUUGUAAGGAAAGAUAUCAUAAAAGGAACAGUCGCGUCAUUCACAGAAAAUAAUGAAAGAAGGUCUUUAAUGCAAGUUCCAGUAAUAUUUAGUGAAAUUGAGUGAUUCUUAGGAUAGAACGUUUUAAAGGAAAAGGAGAGGAUCCUCUGCUAAAACCCGAAAAUCAAAUUAGUUAAUUAAAAGCGGCAAAUCAACAAAGCGAAUUCUAUUCAUUUACAAAAUGAAUAUAUCGGUUGCGAAAUAAAAACACAACAAAUUUCGGAUAUUCUGUAAAUAAUUUCUCUCUACAUAUUCCAAGAUGGAUCUAAAAGAAAAGCCCACCAAUGUCAGCACAUCAUCAGUGGCUGAUAGCUAUAUUCCACCUAGUAAGUCAACAGAUCCAAUUGGACCAGAAAAAGUGAUACAAGAAUACAAAGUAUACAAAAUAAGAUGGCUAGUGAUAUUUUUAUUUGCAUUUUAUUCGGCAUCAAAUGCAAUGCAAUGGAUCCAGUACACAAUUAUUAAUAAUAUUAUCGUGAAAUACUAUAACGUAAGCGGAACAUGGGUCGAUUGGACUUCAAUGAUAUACAUGGCCAUAUACAUUCCCCUAAUCUUCCCAGGCAGUUGGUUUCUCGACAGAAUGGGUUUACGAAUAACAGCUCUUGUCGGAAUAACAGGCACGUGCAUAGGAGCUUGGAUAAAAGUUUUUUCUGUAGCACCGGAUUUGUUCUACGUAGGCUUCAUAGGACAAACUGUUAUAGCAACAGCACAGGUGUGCAUUUUAUCACUUCCAGCUCCACUAGCGGCCGUCUGGUUUGGACCAGACCAAGUUUCGUCAGCAUGCAGUAUUGGUGUUUUUGGAAACCAGCUUGGUGUUGCUUUGGGCUUUAUUUUACCACCAAUGUUUGUAAGGAACCAUGACAACUUAGAUCUCAUAGGAAAAGAUCUCCAAUUUAUGUUCUAUUGUGUUGCCGGUGUGACAACAGUAUUACUAAUCCUUAUGGUACUAUUUUUUAAGGAUAAACCACCAACACCAGCAUCAGCCGCUCAAGAAACAUCACAUUCUCCUGGUGAGGAUGCUUCAUUUUUGGAAUCAUUAAAGUCGUUGGCUCUCAAUCGAAACUACAUCCUGUUGCUAGUUUCCUAUGGCAUGAAUGUUGGAGUGUUCUACGCAAUUUCAACCCUUUUAAAUCCCGUUGUUCUCACGUACUAUCCUGGAGCUGAAGUGGAUGCAGGACGAAUUGGAUUAUGUAUCGUAUUGUUCGGUAUGGUCGGUUCCGUUGUAUCCGGCAUUGUUCUGGACAAAACACAUCGUUUCAAGGAAACAACGUUUGCAGUUUACGCAUUCAGUGCUGUGGGGAUGUGGAUAUUCACAUUCACUCUCAACACUGGUUCUAUAGCAGUUGUUUACGUAACGGCAUCCUUGCUUGGAUUUUUCAUGACUGGAUAUCUUCCAAUCGGAUUCGAGUUCGCCGCCGAACUAACAUUCCCAGAACCAGAAGGAACUGCUUCCGGAUUAUUGAAUGCAGCAUCCCAAGUAUUUGGCAUUCUCUUCACAAUGUUGUAUUCAGAACUAUUAGAAAACUACGGUGAUAUUUAUGCGAACAUUACAAUGGCAGUUAUGUUAGUUGUUGGCACAAUUAUAACGGCUAUAAUUAAAUCAGAUUUGAGAAGACAAGCUGCACAGGGGGCAGUUUCAAACAAUGCCAGUAGUUCGUAAAAUUGUUUUUUAGUUGCAUUUGAGGAAAACCAAAGCUAGAAAGUGUUUUAUUGUUGUUUUACGUUUUUGAUGUUAUAUUAUUUACUUUAUGAAGUGUUAUUUUAUCUUCGAAUACAGUUGAAACAAAUAGUAUGAAAUAUUAAAAGAAGCCAUAUCAGGAGAAGAAGAAUAGCCAAUUAUGGAAUACGGAUGCGUUAAUUACAUUCUGCUAAGGAUGAGACUAGAGCUCUGAGUAUAAAUACCUGGAACGGUUAUUGGAACUUCAAUUGAAUUUAUGAGUUCAGCCUUAUCAGGUGAUCAUUUGUAGUUUGAGAGAAUUUGGUAAAUCUGAAAGCGAAAUUAUGAGCGUAGUGCAUAUAACUGGUUUAGUUGAUGAAGUUGAAAGAGAGGAUCUUCAAAGUAUUUGCCGUCCUUAUGGCGCCGUUGUACAAAUCAGACUUGGUAGAGGUGUACCAAAGGAAGCAUUCGUUGAAUUUAAGGACCCAAAGUCGGCUGCUAAUAUAGUAGCCGAGCUGAACGGACAAGAAAUGUGUGGCUACACUAUUAAAACUGAAUUAUACAACCCAAGAACUGAUAAUUACGGACGUCAACGGUCAUCCAGAAGCGGUUGGAGCAGAGAUACAAUCAAGCAUAGUAGUUCGUUUAGAGGGCCAAGACGAGAAUUUGAUAAUGGAAGGAGAUCUCCGAAUUACAGGAGGGUGGAUGCAGGCAAAGAUCGCAUUGCCACGAAACGGGAUCGGUCCGAAUCGAGGGCCCGUGUAGUUGACCAGCGUAACUCCUACCGGAGCAGAUAUCCCUCUAAGAGGGAUGAAGACUUUCGCCGAAGAGGCUUAAUGCGAAACGAUCGUUGUAAGACAAGUAGGCACCAUGACAAUUGGCGAUCACGAUACCAUUUGGAUAAGGAACGGAACAUGAACAAGUAUGGACGCUUCACUAGCCGGGAUCGGUCUGAAUCACCCCCUCGCAAAUAUCACUCGGUAAUUGUACAACCUGCAAAGCUAAGACGAGUGGAUUCAACUGGAUCAAGUUACAGCACUAAGUCGAGUCAGCAUUCUUCAGUGAGUGGUCGUGGGGUGACACCAAAUAGUGGAAGCUGGUAUUGAUAUGAGAAAC